rnacentral:tRNA from 1 species
GGGGUUGUGCCUCAGCGGUAGAGCCCUCACCUUGCAUGUGCGAGGCCCUGGGUUAGAUUCCCCAGAACCACA